CCUACGGGAGGCAGCAGUGAGGAAUAUUGGUCAAUGGACGAGAGUCUGAACCAGCCAAGUAGCGUGAAGGAUGACUGCCCUAUGGGUUGUAAACUUCUUGUAUAUGGGAAUAAAAUGUUCCACGUGUGGGAUUUUGUAUGUACCAUAUGAAUAAGGAUCGGCUAACUCCGUGCCAGCAGCCGCGGUAAUACGGAGGAUCCGAGCGUUAUCCGGAUUUCUUGGGUUUAAAGGGAGCGUAGGUGGGUUGUUAAGUCAGUUGUGAAAGUUUGCGGCUCAACCGUAAAAUUGCAGUUGAAACUGGCAGUCUUGAGUACAGUAGAGGUGGGCGGAAUUCGUGGUGUAGCGGUGAAAUGCCUUGAUAUCACGAAGAACUCCGAUUGCGAAGGCAGCUCACUGGACUGCAACUGACACUGAGGCUCGAAAGUGUGGGUAUCAAACAGGAUUAGAUACCCCUGUAGUC
rnacentral:rRNA from 1 species